GUGUCGCGCCGCGGUAAUACCGGCAGCUCAAGUGAUGUCCCAUAUUAUUGGGCCUAAAGCGUCCGUAGCUGGCCGACCAAGUCUCCCGGGAAAUCCACCCGCCCAACGGGUGGGCGUCCGGUAGAAACUGGCCGGCUUGGAACCGGAAGGCUCAGAGAGUACGUCCGGGGUAGGAGUGAAAUCCCGUAAUCCCGGACGGACCGCCGGUGGCGAAAGCGCCUCGGGAAGACGGACCCGACAGUGAGGGACGAAAGCUGGGAUCUCGAACCGGAUUAGAUACCCGUGUAGUCC
rnacentral:rRNA from 1 species